GUGAGGCAGGCCCACUGCAAGCCCACAGGGGAAGCUCGGCCCAGCAGCCUUGGGGAGGUCGGGCUGCGGCCUCCCAGGCUUCAGUCUGUUUGCUUUUCAUUGUAAGCUGACUGCAUCUGACAGAGCCCACAAUAUGAGCUCAGGCCCUGGUUGGUAAAGUACCUGGGGUGGGCUGUGGAAGGAGGGAGUUGGUGGGACACUUGCUCUCAGGUGGUUCAGCACAUACGUGGAUUCUGUAGCAGGGGAGGAGAAACCCAGCACAGUUCCUCUGAUACCGUCCUUGUGGUCCUCAGGGCUCCCAACACCAUACCUUCAGGGGAGAGGACAGAACAGGAGACCAGAGGCUAGGGAGGCAGAGGAGACUGGAUUCAGGGCCCACCUCUGCUAUCCAUAGACUGUGUGACCUUGGGCAAGGCGCUUCCUCUUUGGACAUUUGUCUGUUUUCUUCCUCUCUGGACAUCUGUCUAUUUUUGUGGGGAAGAACCCUGAACCCCUUACCUGGGCAGGCAAUCCAGCAGAGUCCCCCAAGGUGUGGGCAGAGCUGCAUAAGGGCCCACUGACUCCCAGCAUUACCACAUGCACUUUUUUUUUAAGAGAGAGAAUUUUAAUAUUUAUUUUUUAGUCCUCGGUGGACACAACAUCUUUGUUUGUAUGUGGUGCUGAGGAUCGAACCCGGGCUGCACGCAUGCCAGGCGAGCGCGCUACCGCUUGAGCCACAUCCCCAGCCCCUGUGACCAGAUGCACUUUUACCAAAACCACAUUCUCAAGUCUGUCUUUUAUUGGGUCCUCUCCACCUUCAAGGGGGCUUUUUUAGAAGGGAGACUUAGGGACAGCGAUGAGCAUGCUCAGAACUCAAUAUGUGUUGCUGCUCACCUGGAUCAUUCCUAUUUCCAAACGUGCCAUGUUUGUUCUACUGCCUCAGGGCCUUUGCGCUGGUUGUUCUUGCAGCCUCCUCCCCAUAAGUGGCACUUGUAGGUUUUUGUUUUUGUUUUGAUUUGGUAGUAGAGAUUGAACCCAUAGGUGCUCUACUACUGAGCUACAUCCCUACCUCCCUUAAGUAAUAUAUUAAUUUAUUUUGAGAAAGGGUCUUGCUAAAUUGCCCAAUCUGGUCUCAAACUUGUGAUCCUCCUGUGUUAGCCUCUCGACAGCUGGGAUUACAGGCAGGCACUACUUAUUGUAGAUAUUCACAGGUCUUUCCCCACCCACUGUCAGCAUUCAGAACUCAGCUCAGAGGUCAUUUGCUCAGAAAGGCCUUACCUGACCUUCCCUAUAAUCAACCCCUCUCCUACCUCAGUUUCUUUCUUUUUUUUUUUUUUUUUGGUACCAGGGAUUGAACUCGGGCACUUGACCACUGAGCCACACCCCCAGCCCUAUUUUGUACUUUGUUUGGAGACAGGGUCUCUGAGUUGCUUAGGUCCUUGCUAAAUUGCUGAGGCUGGCUUUGAACUCAUGAUCCUCCUGCCGCAGCCUCCUGAGCUGCUGGUGUGCGCUACCACGCCCGGCUCCUACCUCCGUUUCUAUACCACAUUUUCUCAUUUUACUGACUUGGCAUUAUGACAUUGACCACUAAUGGUGUACUUUCCCCGUCUGCCUUUCAUGAGAUGGAAGCUCCUGAGAACAGGGUCAUGUCUGUCUGUUCCUCAUCAUACGCAGGUUCCUGUCCUGGGUCUACAGGUGGCAUCAUACGGUUAACAAGGCAUUAAGACCAUUUUGUGGAGUAUAUGAAAAGGCUGUUCUGGAAGACAACCAUGGAUUGGGGAAUCCAGAGGAGGAAGCCAUGGCUGCUUCUGGUUCCCAGAAUGAGGUGACAGGUGGGCUGCCGAGAAGGGUGAGGAGGUACCUCCUGAUCAGAGUGAUGAUUUUAGUAAUACCUGCCGGUACCACUUUGUGUUUUGUGACUAUUUGGUGGGUCCUUUUAUCCAGGCCUCCUACAGCUGGGCUGGGUAGGGAUCAGCCCUAUUUUACAGGUAACAUCAAAG
rnacentral:lncRNA from 1 species